rnacentral:rRNA from 1 species
UACGGAGGGGGCUAGCGUUGUUCGGAAUUACUGGGCGUAAAGCGCACGUAGGCGGCUUUGUAAGUCAGGGGUGAAAUCCUGGAGCUCAACUCCAGAACUGCCUUUGAUACUGGAGAGCUAGAGUCCGGAAGAGGUGAGUGGAACUGCGAGUGUAGAGGUGAAAUUCGUAGAUAUUCGCAAGAACACCAGUGGCGAAGGCGGCUCACUGGUCCGGUACUGACGCUGAGGUGCGAAAGCGUGGGGAGCAAACAGG